rnacentral:rRNA from 1 species
CCUACGGGUGGCUGCAGUGAGGAAUAUUGGUCAAUGGCCGUAAGGCUGAACCAGCCAAGUCGCGUGCAGGAAGAAGGAUCUAUGGUUUGUAAACUUCUUUUAUAGGGGAAUAAAGGUAUCCACGUGUGGAUAUUUGCAUGUACCCUAUGAAUAAGCACCGGAUAAAUCCGUGCCAGCAGCCGCGGUAAUACGGAGGUUGCGAGCGUUAUCCGGAUUUAUUGGGGUUAAAGGGAGCGUAGGUUGUUUUUUCAGUUAGCGGUGAAAGUUUGGGGCUCAACCAUAGAAGUGCCGUUUAAACUGGAAGGCUUGAGUAUGUUUGAGGUAGGCGGAAUGCGUGGUGUAGCGGUGAAAUGCGUAGAGAUCACGAAGAACUCCGAUUGCGAAGGCAGCUUACUGAGCCAGAACUGACGCUGAAGCACGAAAGCGUGGGGAUCAAACAGGAUUAGAUACCCCUGUAGUC